rnacentral:rRNA from 1 species
AUACGAAGGGUGCAAGCGUUACUCGGAAUUACUGGGCGUAAAGCGUGCGUAGGUGGUUGUUUAAGUCUGUCGUGAAAGCCCUGGGCUCAACCUGGGAAUGGCGAUGGAAACUGGGCGACUAGAGUGUGGCAGAGGGUAGUGGAAUUCCUGGUGUAGCAGUGAAAUGCGUAGAGAUCAGGAGGAACAUCCGUGGCGAAGGCGACUGCCUGGGCCAACACUGACACUGAGGCACGAAAGCGUGGGGAGCAAACAGGAUUAGAUACCCUGGUAGUCCACGCCCUAAACGAUGCGAACUGGAUGUUGGGUGCAAUUUGGUACGCAGUAUCGAAGCUAACGCGUUAAGUUCGCCGCCUGGGGAGUACGGUCGCAAGACUGAAACUCAAAUUAAUUGACGGGG